CCACAGUGUUCAAUACUCAGACUUCCAGAUUACUGUGCAACAGAGACUCCUGUGUCACCCUAAGCACUGGUGUUGACAGAGAAGAGAAAAAUCGCAGAUGCCUGCCUCUCCUAAGCCCAGGGCACGCUGUGUGUUUCGAUUUCAUGCUGGGCUGGUUGAGCUUUAAUCUGGGAAAAUGGAAGGCCGAGUUUCUGGGUGCCCACUGCCAACUUUUGCAGCAAGAGUGAGCCUUGUUGAUCCUGCUGGCUCAGAUGUACUCCAUUUCCUGGUAAUUAAACAAGUGGAGAUCAAAGCUGACAAAUCUCCCAGUCUCUCAGAACAGGAGAUGAAGGUCCUGCCUCAGCCCGUGUCUUGCCUCAGCCCGUGAGUCUGUCUCAGCUGACGUCACUCUGCCAAUCAGCCCCAGUCCACAGAAGUAACAAGAAGUUGCAUCACACCACCAGAAGUUUUUUUGGUGCGUUUUUU